rnacentral:tRNA from 1 species
AUUUAUAUAGUUUAAUAAAAACAUUACAUUUUCAUUGUAAAGAAAAAAAAAUUUCUUUUUUAUAAAUA